rnacentral:rRNA from 1 species
GAUGAACGCUGGCGGCGUGCCUAAUACAUGCAAGUCGAGCGAACAGACGAGGAGCUUGCUCCUCUGACGUUAGCGGCGGACGGGUGAGUAACACGUGGAUAACCUACCUAUAAGACUGGGAUAACUUCGGGAAACCGGAGCUAAUACCGGAUAAUAUAUUGAACCGCAUGGUUCAAUAGUGAAAGACGGUUUUGCUGUCACUUAUAGAUGGAUCCGCGCCGCAUUAGCUAGUUGGUAAGGUAACGGCUUACCAAGGCAACGAUGCGUAGCCGACCUGAGAGAGUGAUCGGCCACACGGGAACGGAGACACGGUCCAGACUCCUACGGGAGGCAGCAGUAGGGAAUCUUCCGCAAUGGGCGAAAGCCUGACGGAGCAACGCCGCGUGAGUGAUGAAGGUCUUCGGAUCGUAAAACUCUGUUAUUAGGGAAGAACAAAUGUGUAAGUAACUAUGCACGUCUUGACGGUACCUAAUCAGAAAGCCACGGCUAACUACGUG